rnacentral:rRNA from 1 species
CCGAGUUAUACAACUCAUCAACCCUGUGAACAUACCUAUAACGUUGCCUCGGCGGGAACAGACGGCCCCGUAACACGGGCCGCCCCCGCCAGAGGACCCCCUAACUCUGUUUCUAUAAUGUUUCUUCUGAGUAAACAAGCAAAUAAAUUAAAACUUUCAACAACGGAUCUCUUGGCUCUGGCAUCGAUGAAGAACGCAGCGAAAUGCGAUAAGUAAUGUGAAUUGCAGAAUUCAGUGAAUCAUCGAAUCUUUGAACGCACAUUGCGCCCGCCAGUAUUCUGGCGGGCAUGCCUGUUCGAGCGUCAUUACAACCCUCAGGCCCCCGGGCCUGGCGUUGGGGAUCGGCGGAAGCCCCCUGCGGGCACGACGCCGUCCCCCAAAUACAGUGGCGGUCCCGCCGCAGCUUCCAUUGCGUAGUAGCUAACACCUCGCAACUGGAGAGCGGCGCGGCCACGCCGUAAAACACCCAACUUCUGAAUGGCGAGUGAAGCGGCACAGCUCAAAUUUGAAAUCUGGCUCUCGGGCCCGAGUUGUAAUUUGUAGAGGAUGCUUUUGGUGAGGUGCCUUCCGAGUUCCCUGGAACGGGACGCCAUAGAGGGUGAGAGCCCCGUCUGGUUGGACACCGAUCCUCUGUAAAGCUCCUUCGACGAGUCGAGUAGUUUGGGAAUGCUGCUCUAAAUGGGAGGUAUAUGUCUUCUAAAGCUAAAUACCGGCCAGAGACCGAUAGCGCACAAGUAGAGUGAUCGAAAGAUGAAAAGAACUUUGAAAAGAGAGUUAAAAAGUACGUGAAAUUGUUGAAAGGGAAGCGCUUGUGACCAGACUUGGGCUUGGUUGAUCAUCCGGGGUUCUCCCCGGUGCACUCUUCCGGCUCAGGCCAGCAUCAGUUCGCCCUGGGGGAUAAAGGCUUCGGAAUGUGGCUCUCUCCGGGGAGUGUUAU